ACUCCCCGCUGUUUUUUGUAUUAAACCCGCAGUCUUUUUCCAAUGUGUACUAAAAACGUUUCGUCCCCAGGAACAGACACGACCACGGGCUCUCCUCUCUCUCCCUUUCCUCCUGAUCCCAGCCGCCAGGAGGCGCACGACCUGCGUGACGGUCGAUCCGGUGUCGCGCCGGCCGCCUGCCGAUGUCCGACGCCGGUGAUCGGACCACACUUCACCACCGGUCUGCCUCAGCUGAUCCUUUCCUUCGCGCGCCCGAGCUUCUUGUUGUACGCCGCCCAGGAGGGCCCGCGCUCGCCGCUCGACCAGAGCCACCGCCCCAGCUGGUCCGGUGCCGCGCCGACCGCCGGCCGAUGGAUGACGGAGGUGAUCGAAGCAUCCUGCACCACCAGUCUGCUUCAUCUCCUCCUUUCCUUCGCGCGCCUGAGCUCCUCGUUGUAUGCCGCCCGGGAGGGCUCGCGCUCGUCGCUCUACCAGAGCCACCACCGGCCGGUCGUCGCUGCACUUUCCCGCGACCUCUCCGCCCCCUCUGCACCACCCUCCACCUCAAUUUAGACGCACAUGUGUUUGUGCAUGUCCUCAGUUAUUGUUUGCACACAAGGUGUUUGUGUGUUUGUCCUAGCCAGUUUCAGUCACAGAUCCUUGAGGUAAAUCCCACAUAUGAGACUAACUCUCCUUCCAUAUGAUUCAAAAAAUUGUAUGAUGGUAGGAUUUAAUUGGGUUACUAGAAUAAUGCGUUGCUAAUUAAUUUACAUCAUGUGGAAUCUCAAGACACAUGGGUACGCCGGCUCCUAUUGUUUGACAAAUGUAUAUCAAAUUUUCUUCAAUCGUAUAAAGAAGUUACAGUUAGGUGUUGCACUUUUUAUGCCUAGACACAGCAGCUCCAAUAAGAUCUGGGCGCUCAUGGUGAGAUAUAUUAAUUAUUCUUAUAAUGGUCAUAUGAAUUUGCAGAGACAAUUAGAUUUUGGAAGCAGGAAUCCUUUCCUCAUAAGAUGGAUGAGCUGUAGGAUUUGAUUCUGUUCAGCUUGGAUUAGUUUUUCAUCAUUAUGUUCUUUGUAUUAGGUAUUCAUGCUUUCCAGCUCUAAUUUUUUUGCAUUGUUGGUGUAUGCUGGGAGUCACAUUGCUAUGCAUGCUAGCAAACAAUAGGAUUGGAAGUCUUACCCUGUAGGUUAUUAAUAUAUUUUCCACUAUACUGAGGUUCAGCAAUUUAAUUCGUAUUAAGGUCACACAAGCAGUUUGGUUUUCAGAUUUGUAUUGACAAACAUAUUUGGUUCAGCAAUUUAAUUCGUAAUUAGAGUCACACAAGCAGUUUGGUUUUUAGAUUUGUCUUAACAAACAUAUUUUGCAGAUUAUCCUUGCAUAAGCAAUUGAUUUCUGCAAGUUCCUUUCACUUAUUUAUUUCUUCACUUGGUUAUGAUGUACUGCUAUUCGUUUUCAUGAUGAUCCAUGCAUUUUGUACUUUUCACUGACAAAAACUUCUCUCUAAACAAGAUUCGUUCCCAUUGUUACAGUGAAGUAGCUACCGAGCAGUGAGGCCAUCGAGCGACACGAGACCGCGGGACGGCGUGAGAAGAAGGGGGGGGUCUAGGGGGAUGGAGAAGACCACGAGGAAGUGUGGCGAUGGAGUGCAAUCCCGAAGAAGAAGAACAUUGCAAAGAAAGACCCUAGCCAAGCGCCACCCAAUUCUCUUUCACCGACCUAUCUAAUGGCCAUCAAUUCAAUUGGUCCAAGCUGCUGCGUUGACCUUCCCAUUGAUCCACUACAUCCUCGCUCAGUUGCUUCUGCUAUGUUUCUUCUCUCUAUGCCAUUGCCGGCUGCUGGCGUGCCUGACAUCGCACCUUAUGUGACCUAAUAUGAUGCUCCUCUACAUGUUCUUCUCACCCCGGUUUUCAUGAGGAGAGAUAUUGUUCUGCGGUUCUGUAGCUCUACUCCAUAGCAAUGAUGGAGUCGCCUCCAGAUGGAUAGCAAUUAUCUCGGAUCAUGAGCUGUCUACGCAACGACCAGGGGCAUAUCCUUCUCCUACCACUAACACCUUCAUCCUAUUUGAGCCAAAAUGGCUUUGGUGCCCUCUCUCUCUCAUGGUGAGGCUGUGCACGCUUGCCAUGGUUGUGGCUACGAAAUCUCACACUGAGUCGCUUCGGUCGGGCACUAUUCAGGUACAACUCACUUUGCUCCACCAUUGUUGGUUGCUGUACAUCACAUGCUUGACGAAACUUCAAAGAUGGUGUUGAUCUUGUUCUUGCUUGACCAUCCUUGUUAUAAAUCAUUAUUGGGUUCUAGCUAGGGUCUUAGCGAUUGAUAAUUUCUCGAUUAUAUUGCCGAAAAUGUAGUUCUUAUUGUCAAAUUGUUAUGGCAGCAUGAGUGAAAAUAUGUUCCUUUUAAAUGCUUAGAUUCUAUAGAAACCUCUGGUCUAUAUCCUAAAUUACUGUAUUGUGUGCUUUUGUAAAAUAAACUGUAUUGAUGCAAUUUAUAUAUGUAGUACAAUGGUUUUACUCACAUCACAAAUAUCUGACAACAAGAGUGGUCCCGAGUUAACUUGCAACCAAAACAUUUAAAUUCCAGUUCAACAUUGCAUAUUCCUAUCUAAUAAACAGUCAAAUGUUUCAGACUAAAGUGAGAGUUUCUAGCAUAUUCCUCUUUUACGGUGACGCCAGAUUCGAAUUUGAAGGCGUACUUGUCCCUGAGCUGGUGGUGCCUGAGAACAACAACGACAACAUUCUGGUGCAUCAGGGGCACACAUCGUCUCCAAGCUCUGUCGCAAGCAACGCAGGCACGCCUCAGGCUCAAAGUCCGGUUGCUGUGCAGGCGAGCGGCAGCAGCCACUUACGUCUCUUCUAAGAAGGGCGCCGCCUUGGAGGAGCAUAAUGAGAGAAGCAAGUCGACACCGACUACAGCGGCGCAUGAGCCAACAAAGGGGCAGGAUCAUUGGAGACGACGGACACAGAGGCGCGUGCUAGGCAUGCCAAUCAUCAAACACUAGGGAGCGAUCCCACCCCCGAUGCCACAGUACAUGCAGUCGUCGCUGCCGCCUCUACAUGCCAUGAUCUACAGGCAAGUGCCUGCUCAGCAACGUACAAGAGAGGUCAGCGUGGGGCCUACUCGCCAAGAUGAUGCUUCUCUUCUCGUGCUUAUUUACUUGCCUUCUAUGUGUGACGAGAAGGAGCAGGAGAUUCAGAGGCUCAGGUUGGCAUCGCUAGGUGAGUUCCCUGCUGAUUUGACGAGCACGUGAUAUAGACUGUGGUCGGGUUCCUUCCUAACUCUGCUGGGCCUAAUGAAGAGAAAGAAUCAACUUUUGAGCUUAAUUGGCUAGAUCCAACCAGGCAGCUGCACAACAUUGUCAAGGAGAAGAUGAGAACAAUGCGAUGCUCAAAGAAGCAGGCUCUAGUUUUGGUAAAUGAGUAGUGAUGUUGUUGCAACCACCGAAACAAAUCUGAAAAAUAAGACAAAGACAAACAGGUUGAGAGGUUGGAUAAUGAUAUGGAAGAUCAAGUUAAAAAACAAAUUAUUGAUGCCCCUGCAAGCAAAGUAAA